rnacentral:rRNA from 1 species
AGAGACAGCAGUAGCCACGGUAAUACGAAGGGUGCAAGCGUUACUCGGAAUUACUGGGCGUAAAGCGUGCGUAGGUGGUGGUUUAAGUCCGUUGUGAAAGCCCUGGGCUCAACCUGGGAAUUGCAGUGGAUACUGGAUCACUAGAGUGUGGUAGAGGAUAGUGGAAUUUCCGGUGUAGCAGUGAAAUGCGUAGAGAUCGGAAGGAACAUCUGUGGCGAAGGCGACUAUCUGGGCCAACACUGACACUGAGGCACGAAAGCGUGGGGAGCAAACAGGAUUAGAGACCCCGGUAGUCCCUGUCUCUUAUAA